rnacentral:rRNA from 1 species
UACGUAGGGUGCAAGCGUUACUCGGAAUUACUGGGCGUAAAGCGUGCGCAGGCGGUGAUGUAAGACAGUUGUGAAAUCCCCGGGCUCAACCUGGGAACUGCAUCUGUGACUGCAUUGCUGGAGUGCGGCAGAGGGGGAUGGAAUUCCGCGUGUAGCAGUGAAAUGCGUAGAUAUGCGGAGGAACACCGAUGGCGAAGGCAAUCCCCUGGGCCUGCACUGACGCUCAUGCACGAAAGCGUGGGGAGCAAACAGG